rnacentral:ncRNA from 18 species
AACUCAUGAAGAGGACGAGAGGGGUCUGGCCCGAUGACCGUCCGGCAACCUGCCCGCAAGGCAAGGUGCCAAAGCCAGCCACGGUGAGAUGCCGCGGUGCCAUGAGGU